AAAUUGAAGAGUUUGAUCAUGGCUCAGAUUGAACGCUGGCGGCAGGCCUAACACAUGCAAGUCGAACGGUAACAGGAAGAAGCUUGCUUCUUUGCUGACGAGUGGCGGACGGGUGAGUAAUGUCUGGGAAACUGCCUGAUGGAGGGGGAUAACUACUGGAAACGGUAGCUAAUACCGCAUAACGUCGCAAGACCAAAGAGGGGGACCUUCGGGCCUCUUGCCAUCGGAUGUGCCCAGAUGGGAUUAGCUUGUUGGUGGGGUAACGGCUCACCUAGGCGACGAUCCCUAGCUGGUCUGAGAGGAUGACCAGCCACACUGGAACUGAGACACGGUCCAGACUCCUACGGGAGGCAGCAGUGGGGAAUAUUGCACAAUGGGCGCAAGCCUGAUGCAGCCAUGCCGCGUGUAUGAAGAAGGCCUUCGGGUUGUAAAGUACUUUCAGCGGGGAGGAAGGGAGUAAAGUUAAUACCUUUGCUCAUUGACGUUACCCGCAGAAGAAGCACCGGCUAACUCCGUGCCAGCAGCCGCGGUAAUACGGAGGGUGCAAGCGUUAAUCGGAAUUACUGGGCGUAAAGCGCACGCAGGCGGUUUGUUAAGUCAGAUGUGAAAUCCCCGGGCUCAACCUGGGAACUGCAUCUGAUACUGGCAAGCUUGAGUCUCGUAGAGGGGGGUAGAAUUCCAGGUGUAGCGGUGAAAUGCGUAGAGAUCUGGAGGAAUACCGGUGGCGAAGGCGGCCCCCUGGACGAAGACUGACGCUCAGGUGCGAAAGCGUGGGGAGCAAACAGGAUUAGAUACCCUGGUAGUCCACGCCGUAAACGAUGUCGACUUGGAGGUUGUGCCCUUGAGGCGUGGCUUCCGGAGCUAACGCGUUAAGUCGACCGCCUGGGGAGUACGGCCGCAAGGUUAAAACUCAAAUGAAUUGACGGGGGCCCGCACAAGCGGUGGAGCAUGUGGUUUAAUUCGAUGCAACGCGAAGAACCUUACCUGGUCUUGACAUCCACAGAACUUUCCAGAGAUGGAUUGGUGCCUUCGGGAACUGUGAGACAGGUGCUGCAUGGCUGUCGUCAGCUCGUGUUGUGAAAUGUUGGGUUAAGUCCCGCAACGAGCGCAACCCUUAUCCUUUGUUGCCAGCGGUCCGGCCGGGAACUCAAAGGAGACUGCCAGUGAUAAACUGGAGGAAGGUGGGGAUGACGUCAAGUCAUCAUGGCCCUUACGACCAGGGCUACACACGUGCUACAAUGGCGCAUACAAAGAGAAGCGACCUCGCGAGAGCAAGCGGACCUCAUAAAGUGCGUCGUAGUCCGGAUUGGAGUCUGCAACUCGACUCCAUGAAGUCGGAAUCGCUAGUAAUCGUGGAUCAGAAUGCCACGGUGAAUACGUUCCCGGGCCUUGUACACACCGCCCGUCACACCAUGGGAGUGGGUUGCAAAAGAAGUAGGUAGCUUAACCUUCGGGAGGGCGCUUACCACUUUGUGAUUCAUGACUGGGGUGAAGUCGUAACAAGGUAACCGUAGGGGAACCUGCGGUUGGAUCACCUCCUUACCUUAAAGAAGC
rnacentral:rRNA from 1 species